UACAGAGGUCUCAAGCGUUGUUCGGAUUCAUUGGGCGUAAAGGGUGCGUAGGCGGCGGAGCAAGUCAGGUGUGAAAUCCCGGAGCUCAACUCCGGAACUGCAUUUGAUACUGCUUUGCUAGAGUACUGGAGAGGAGACUGGAAUUUACGGUGUAGCAGUGAAAUGCGUAGAUAUCGUAAGGAAGACCAGUGGCGAAGGCGAGUCUCUGGACAGUUACUGACGCUGAGGCACGAAGGCCAGGGGAGCAAACGGG
rnacentral:rRNA from 1 species